GGUUUAGGACCUUGAAUAUAAAUAAAGCUCUAAGAAGGUGUAGUAGAUUAACCCGUCUUGUCAGGGGUGAGAGGCGACUUGUCUAUGAUCGUUUAGAGAUGGCGAGUCGUGCCGACACCUUGUACAUCGAACACGUCUUUAAGGCGAGUGAGUUCAGCCCUACUUUAGGUUGAUCUUGCCCGCCAAUUUUUGGAAGCCUCCCUUACGGGAGAGGCUGCCAAUAAUUCUAAAUAUUAGACUAUGGAGAGAUAACUUAAUAAGAGCACGCAAAAUCCCAAUUUACCAUGUUUUUGACAAGAUUAAAGAUGCAUCAAUCACGUCUUAUGUGGGGUUGUCAAAUUAUGGGUUUUGUUUUAAAGUUUGAGUCUUUAAUGGUGGUGUGAUUUAAAGAUUUUGUGUGCUUCAGUUCAUUUAAGUAGGAAGAGAGAGAGGAGAUAAUUGCUACUUAGUAUAUUGGGUUGUUGUAAACAUUGAUGUUUUAGUUUAAUGAGUAAUUAUUGGUUGAAAUAUGUAGUCUUUUCUUAUGAUAUCAGUGCGUUUUGCUUCGAAUUUUGUCUUAAUUUCAUAUUUAGUGCUUGCUCAGUGGAGGGAUUAGUUGUAGGGUUUUUUUUUGUCAAUUAAGUGUGUCAAUUUAUAGGAUUUUUUAGUGUUUUGAGGUAUAUUUUAAGUUAAUUGUUUAUCAAAUGUUUGGUUAGUUAAGAGACAAGGAGUUGAUUAGUCUUCUUGUUGUUGUAAAAACUGCUACGUUUACUGGAAAUAGUUAUAUGUACUUUUCCUGGCCUUUUGUCUAAGAUCAAGUGUAAUUAGUUAUUUUUUACUUAAAUUUGUAUGUGUAGGGAAAAGAUGCAGCAGCUGUAGGCGCAUAUGAUAUGCCUUCAUGUGAAACUUUGAUUUAUUUUACCCUGUCUUACGCUUUUUCGGUUUGGUUAAUGUGUUUAAAUGAGGGAUUUUUUGUGUAGGGAACUUACCUGUCUUUGAACUGUGCUCUAAUUGUUCGCUUAUCAUUUACAGAAAGUUUAUACUAGAUCGGAUACUUGUAAUGCCUGCCUUUUGCGUACGCAUACGAGUGUUAAUUUCUGAAUAAAGAGAUUCUGUGCUAUUGGUGCAGUAUAGUUGUCAUCAUGUGUGAAGGGCUCUUUGCAUUGGGAUUCUUAUGAAAGGUCUUAUUUGGUUGAAGAAAAUUAUACUUCUGGAUCGUAUUGAGAUGCUCUCUUACCUCUGAAUGCUUGCUUUUUUUGCAGCUGCAUGGAUGGCAUAGGAUUUAGUAGAAUCAUGCAAGCAUUUCAUUAGUGCUGUCAUCAAUGGUUCCGAUCUGGUGCGCUACAUUUUCAGCUGCCUCUGCUGAUGAUCGUCACUCUGAGGUGCUGAAAUUUGCUCGGGUCAAGGAUCAAUGUGUUCAUGCUUUACCAUCCACUGUUAAACUCCGGACUCUCAAAUGGUUCUCAACCAGGUCACAGCACCUUUGUGGUUAAAUGACUCGAGGGAUCAGGUUGAGCAGACCAGAGUCCUCAUUGUUGUUUAUUGCUAUGCUGCUGCCCUGGGAUCUCGUCUGCCAUCAUAGUUAGUGUGAAAGCCGGGGUUGCUGGUGCAAUCGCACUCUUGCAACCCAUCUCCAGCAGCACUCAGGAUUAAGAGAGGAAUCAGAGAGAUGUAUUUUCUGAAGGAAGCAUUUCUUCAUAUUUGCAACACAACAUGGGGCAAUUAUGUUCUACUUCAAUCUUUGUCAUGGGAAGACGACGUCAUUUACUCAAUGGCCCGGCAAGAUCAUUAUUUUGACAUGAUCAUCCAAUAGAAUUGGUCCUCGGAGCAGUCCUUUGGCAUAAUUAUUUUUCCUGCUUGUACAAAAAAACCCUAAAGUUGCACUUGUCUUAAGAUCACGUCUUGACCUUUUCAAGUCAAGUUCAUCAAUGAACAUAAUAUGCACCUUAAAUCA